AGUUGGAAUCGCUAGUAAUCGCAGGUCAGCUAUACUGCGGUGAAUACGUUCUCGAAUCUUGUACUCACAAAAUCUGCGCAUAGCGGGUUAUAAAACUAAGUUGUUAGAAUCAACUCCUCC
rnacentral:ncRNA from 1 species